rnacentral:rRNA from 1 species
CUACGGGUCGCUCCAGUGAGGAAUAUUGCACAAUGGGGGAAACCCUGAUGCAGCAACGCCGCGUGGAGGAUGACGCAUUUCGGUGUGUAAACUCCUUUUAUAUGUCAAGAAAAUGACGGUAGCAUAUGAAUAAGCACCGGCUAACUCCGUGCCAGCAGCCACGGUAAUACGGAGGGUGCAAGCGUUACUCGGAAUCACUGGGCGUAAAGGACGCGUAGGCUGGUUGGUAAGUCAGGUGUGAAAUCCUACAGCUUAACUGUAGAACUGCACUUGAAACUACCAACCUAGAGUAUGGGAGGGGGAGAUGGAAUUAGUGGUGUAGGGGUAAAAUCCGUAGAUAUCACUAGGAAUACCGAAAGCGAAGGCGAUCUCCUGGAACAUAACUGACGCUAAGGCGUGAAAGCGUGGGGAGCAAACAGGAUUAGAUACCCGCGUAGUC